GGUCAAGCGAAUAAGUGCAUGUGGUGGAUGCCUUGGCGAUCACAGGCGAUGAAGGACGUAGUAGCUUGCGAAAAGCUGCGGGGAGCUGGCAAACGAGCUUUGAUCCGCAGAUGUCCGAAUGGGGAAACCCGGCCCGUAUGGGUCAUCCCUUGCUGAAUACAUAGGCAAGGGAGGCGAACGCAGUGAACUGAAACAUCUAAGUAGCUGCAGGAAAAGAAAUCAACCGAGAUUCCCAAAGUAGUGGCGAGCGAAAUGGGAACAGCCUUGUACUCUUUAGCAGUAUUGUUAGCGGAACGGAAUGGAAAGUCCGGCCAUAGUGGGUGAUAGCCCCGUACGCGAAAACAGUAUUGUGGAACUAGGUGUACGACAAGUAGGGCGGGACACGUGAAAUCCUGUCUGAAGAUGGGGGGACCAUCCUCCAAGGCUAAAUACUCGUGAUCGACCGAUAGUGAACCAGUACCGUGAGGGAAAGGCGAAAAGAACCCCGGGAGGGGAGUGAAAUAGAUCCUGAAACCGCAUGCAUACAAACAGUCGGAGCCUGGAAACGGGUGACGGCGUACCUUUUGUAUAAUGGGUCAGCGACUUACAUUCAGUGGCAAGCUUAACCGAUUAGGGAAGGCGUAGCGAAAGCGAGUCCGAAUAGGGCGUUCAGUCGCUGGGUGUAGACCCGAAACCAAGUGAUCUAUCCAUGGCCAGGUUGAAGGUGCGGUAACACGUACUGGAGGACCGAACCCACUAACGUUGAAAAGUUAGGGGAUGAGCUGUGGAUAGGGGUGAAAGGCUAAACAAACUUGGAAAUAGCUGGUUCUCUCCGAAAACUAUUUAGGUAGUGCCUCGUGUCUCACCUUCGGGGGUAGAGCACUGUCAUGGUUGGGGGGUCUAUUGCUGAUUACCCCGCCAUAGCAAACUCCGAAUACCGAAGAGUGCAAUCACGGGAGACAGACAUCGGGUGCUAACGUCCGGUGUCAAGAGGGAAACAACCCAGACCGCCAGCUAAGGUCCCUAAGAUUGGCUAAGUGGGAAACGAAGUGGGAAGGCUAAAACAGUCAGGAGGUUGGCUUAGAAGCAGCCACCCUUUAAAGAAAGCGUAAUAGCUCACUGAUCGAGUCGUCCUGCGCGGAAGAUGUAACGGGGCUAAGCCAGUCACCGAAGCUGCGGAUGCACGUAAGUGCAUGGUAGGAGAGCGUUCUGUAAGCCUGUGAAGGUGUCUUGUAAAGGAUGCUGGAGGUAUCAGAAGUGCGAAUGCUGACAUGAGUAGCGAUAAAGGGGUGAAAGGCCCCCUCGCCGUAAGCCCAAGGUUUCCUACGCAACGUUCAUCGGCGUAGGGUGAGUCGGCCCCUAAGGCGAGGCAGAGAUGCGUAGCUGAUGGGAAGCAGGUUAAUAUUCCUGCACCGUCGUAUGAUGCGAUGGGGGGACGGAUCGCGGAAGGUUGUCCGGGUGUUGGAAGUCCCGGUCCCUACAUUGGAGAUGGCACUUAGGCAAAUCCGGGUGCGUGAUUCAAGGGUGUGGGGCGAGCGACGUUAGGUCGCGAAGCAAUUGGAAGUGGUUCCAAGAAAAGCCUCUAAGCUUCAGUCAUACGAGACCGUACCGCAAACCGACACAGGUGGGCGAGAUGAGUAUUCUAAGGCGCUUGAGAGAACUCGGGAGAAGGAACUCGGCAAAUUGGUACCGUAACUUCGGGAUAAGGUACGCCCUUGUAGUUUGACUGGCUCGCGCCAGAAGGAUGAAGGGGUUGCAAUAAAAUGGUGGCUGCGACUGUUUAAUAAAAACACAGCACUCUGCAAACACGAAAGUGGACGUAUAGGGUGUGACGCCUGCCCGGUGCCGGAAGAUUAAAUGAUGGGGUGCAAGCUCUUGAUUGAAGUCCCGGUAAACGGCGGCCGUAACUAUAACGGUCCUAAGGUAGCGAAAUUCCUUGUCGGGUAAGUUCCGACCUGCACGAAUGGCGUAACGAUGGCCACACUGUCUCCUCCCGAGACUCAGCGAAGUUGAAGUGUUUGUGAUGAUGCAAUCUCCCCGCGGCUAGACGGAAAGACCCCAUGAACCUUUACUGUAGCUUUGCAUUGGACUUUGAACCGAUCUGUGUAGGAUAGGUGGGAGGCUUUGAAACCGGGACGCUAGUUUCGGUGGAGCCGACCUUGAAAUACCACCCUGGUUUGUUUGAGGUUCUAACCUUGGCCCGUGAAUCCGGGUCGGGGACAGUGCAUGGUAGGCAGUUUGACUGGGGCGGUCUCCUCCCAAAGUGUAACGGAGGAGUUCGAAGGUACGCUUGGUACGGUCGGACAUCGUACCUAAAGUGCAAUGGCAAAAGCGUGCUUAACUGCGAGACCGACAAGUCGAGCAGGUGCGAAAGCAGGACAUAGUGAUCCGGUGGUUCUGUAUGGAAGGGCCAUCGCUCAACGGAUAAAAGGUACUCUGGGGAUAACAGGCUGAUACCGCCCAAGAGUUCAUAUCGACGGCGGUGUUUGGCACCUCGAUGUCGGCUCAUCUCAUCCUGGGGCUGUAGCCGGUCCCAAGGGUAUGGCUGUUCGCCAUUUAAAGAGGUACGUGAGCUGGGUUUAAAACGUCGUGAGACAGUUUGGUCCCUAUCUGCCGUGGGCGUUGGAAUCUUGACGGGGGCUGCUCCUAGUACGAGAGGACCGGAGUGGACGUACCGCUGGUGUACCUGUUGUCUCGCCAGAGGCAUCGCAGGGUAGCUAUGUACGGAAGAGAUAACCGCUGAAAGCAUCUAAGCGGGAAACUCGCCUGAAGAUGAGGAUUCCCUGGAGACUUGAUCUCCCUGAAGGGUCGUUCGAGACCAGGACGUUGAUAGGCUGGGUGUGGAAGCGCAGUAAUGUGUUCAGCUAACCAGUACUAAUUGCCCGUGCGGCUUGAUCCU
rnacentral:rRNA from 1 species